rnacentral:tRNA from 1 species
GGGGUCGUAGCUCAAAUGGUAGAGCGCCCGCUUAGCAAUAAGCGCCCGAUAUGCGGGAGGUAGGGGGAUCGAUGCCCUCCGACUCCA